ACCUGUAGGUACCUAAGUAUUAUUUAUUCCGUAAUUUCAAAGCAGUCCAUUUCUAAUUUAUAUCGUGCCAAGCGGUCGCUUAUUUAAGUGCAGAACAUUUGAAAUACCUCGUUGAAUUUAGCGUUCUAUGUUUGGACUGUGAACACCAAUGAAAUGGCAUAAAAGUAAUAGACGCGGGGAUUUACUUGUGUAGUGUACCGUGUCUUGUGACAGCGUAGGAGAUUAAUUUUAAUCUUCAUCAGUCGUCAUGGAUGAGUGUUAGAGUAAAACAUGGCAACAGCCUCGCAUAGAUAUAAAAAUAUAUAGGCUGAUGAUUGCAGCUGUCCACAGCUGUUAUUAGUGUCCAGUGAAAUAUGAAGUUUAUCGUAUCUCGGAUCAUAGCAAUAUCUGGCAGAAAUUAUUAAGCAGCCUUUAUCUGCCAGAUAGCCACUUUAUCGGUAACCAGUGAAACCAGACACAGGCUCUAAUGAAAGGAAAUAUUAGUUGCACGAUUAAAAGAAGUUAGUCCCAUGGGAGUAGAACCGCCAAGAGCUCCCCCAAUGAGUACCAACCAUCCCAGUUUUGGGCAGGACCCUUUGCAGCAGGACAUCCUACACUACAAUCCCUGGACUCUAACCCAAGUAAUCCGCAGCAGAGACAGACCCAGCGCAGUCAACAAAACCCGGGUCAGAGAAGCAACCCACAGCGCCGUGGCUACUAACAUCCGAACUAAAUAUUACAAUAUCUAAUCAGUCUACCUAACAGUAAGCAUGAGCGAAUAAAAAGUUUAACUUUA
rnacentral:misc_RNA from 1 species